UCUCUUCGUUUUCAAGGAAAAUAAUGGCAUUUUUUAAAAUCAACGGGUAUUCGAAUUUUCAAAGGAAGUUCUCUCCAUGAACCUUCUGAAUCUGUAUUUUAAAUUAAAAUUUGCUCCUGAACUGAUAGCCUACAAAGCAAAGAAGUCGCCCUUAUUUCAACAUCAAAUAAAUCGGUUUUUCUUUUGUCAACUUUUGUGUUAAAUGCCCCCACUGUACUCGUAUAGAGCUGAUUAAGGAACUGAAGAUGGACUGUGCUUGUGUAAACACAUUGACAUUAAAUGUUGACAAAUAAAAUGAAAAUAAAUGAGUUAUAGAAGA